UUGCGCAAUGGGGGAACCCUGACGCAGCAACGCCGCGUGAGUGACGAAGGCCUUCGGGUCGUAAAGCUCUGUCAUGAGGGACGAAGGAAGUGACGGUACCUCAGGAGGAAGCCCCGGCUAACUACGUGCCAGCAGCCGCGGUAAUACGUAGGGGGCGAGCGUUGUCCGGAAUUACUGGGCGUAAAGGGCGUGUAGGCGGGUACUUAAGUCAGGGGUGAAAACCGACGGCUCAACCGGAGGCAUGCCUCUGAAACUGGGUACCUUGAGGACAGGAGAGGGAAGCGGAAUUCCUAGUGUAGCGGUGAAAUGCGUAGAUAUUAGGAGGAACACCAGUGGCGAAGGCGGCUUUCUGGCCUGGACCUGACGCUGAGGCGCGAAAGCGUGGGGAGCAAACAGGAUUAGAUACCCUGGUAGUCCACGCCGUAAACGAUGGGUACUAGGUGUGGGAGGUAUCGACCCCUUCCGUGCCGUAGUAAACACAAUAAGUACCCCGCCUGGGGAGUACGGCCGCAAGGUUG
rnacentral:rRNA from 1 species